UACGGGGGGGGCAAGCGUUGUUCGGAAUUACUGAGCGUAAAGGGCUCGUAGGCGGCCAACUAAGUCGGAUGUGAAAUCCCCAGGCUUAACCUGGGAACUGCAUCCGAUACUGGAUGGCUUGAAUCCGGGAGAGGGAUGCAGAAUUCCAGGUGUAGCGGUGAAAUGCGUAGAUAUCUGGAGGAACACCGGUGGCGAAGGCGGCAUCCUGGACCGGCAUUGACGCUGAGGCGCGAAAGCCAGGGGAGCAAACGGG
rnacentral:rRNA from 1 species